AUUGAACGCUGGCGGCAGGCCUAAUACAUGCAAGUCGAGCGGAGCGUCGGACGGGUGAUUAAUGCCUAGGAAUCUGCCCGGUAGUGGGGGAUACCGUCCGGGAACGGGCGCUUAUACCACAUACUAUCAGAGCGGCCUCGGUGGGAUUAGCUGGUUGGUGGGGUAAAGGCUUACCAAGGCGACGAGCCGUAACUGGUCUGAGAGGAUGAUCAGUCACACUGGAACUGAGACACGGUCCAGACUCCUACGGGAGGCAGCAGUGGGGAAUAUUGGACAAUGGACGAAAGCCUGAUCCAGCCAUGCCGCGUGUGUGAAGAAGGUCUUCGGAUUGUAAAGCACUGUAAGUUGGGAGGCGGUACCAACAGAAUAAGCACCGGCUAACUACGUGCCAGCAGCCGCGGUAAUUC
rnacentral:rRNA from 1 species